rnacentral:rRNA from 1 species
GACGAACGCUGGCGGCGUGCUUAACACAUGCAAGUCGAACGGAAAGGCCCUGCUUUUGUGGGGUGCUCGAGUGGCGAACGGGUGCGUAACACGUGAGUAACCUGCCCUUGACUUUGGGAUAACUUCAGGAAACUGGGGCUAAUACCGGAUAUGAGCUCCUGCUGCAUGGUGGGGGUUGGAAAGUUUCGGCGGUUGGGGAUGGACUCGCGGCUUAUCAGCUUGUUGGUGGGGUAGUGGCUUACCAAGGCUUUGACGGGUAGCCGGCCUGAGAGGGUGACCGGCCACAUUGGGACUGAGAUACGGCCCAGACUCCUACGGGAGGCAGCAGUGGGGAAUAUUGCACAAUGGGCGGAAGCCUGAUGCAGCAACGCCGCGUGCGGGAUGACGGCCUUCGGGUUGUAACCCGCUUUCGCCUGUGACGAAGCGUGAGUGACGGUAAUGGGUAAAGAAGCACCGGCUAACUACGUG